rnacentral:rRNA from 1 species
CCUACGGGUGGCAGCAGUGAGGAAUAUUGGUCAAUGGUCGGGAGACUGAACCAGCCAAGCCGCGUGAGGGAUGAAGGUACAGAGUAUCGUAAACCUCUUUUGUCAGGGAACAAAGGCGGGGACGUGUCCCCGGAUGAGUGUACCUGAAGAAAAAGCAUCGGCUAACUCCGUGCCAGCAGCCGCGGUAAUACGGAGGAUUCGAGGGUUAUCCGGAUUUAUUGGGUGUAAGGGGUGCGCAGGCGGUCUGUUCAGUCAGUGGUAAAAGCCCGGGGCCAAACCCCGGCCCGUCGUUGAAACUGGCAGUCUCGAGUUGGAGAGAAGUAUGCGGAAUGCGCGGUGUAGCGGUGAAAUGCAUAGAUAUCGCGCAGAACUCCGAUUGCGAAGGCAGCAUGCCGGCUCCACACUGACGCUGAGGCACGAAAGCGUGGGUAUCGAACAGGAUUAGAUACCCGAGUAGUC